AUUGAACGCUGGCGGCAUGCUUUACACAUGCAAGUCGAACGGUAACAGGUUAUGCUGACGAGUGGCGAACGGGUGAGUAAUGCAUCGGAACGUGCCCGGUCGUGGGGGAUAACGCAGCGAAAGCUGCGCUAAUACCGCAUACGAUCUGAGGAUGAAAGCGGGGGACCGUAAGGCCUCGCGCGAUCGGAGCGGCCGAUGUCAGAUUAGGUAGUUGGUGGGGUAAAGGCUCACCAAGCCGACGAUCCGUAGCUGGUCUGAGAGGACGACCAGCCACACUGGGACUGAGACACGGCCCAGACUCCUACGGGAGGCAGCAGUGGGGAAUCUUGGACAAUGGGCGCAAGCCUGAUCCAGCAAUGCCGCGUGCAGGAAGAAGGCCUUCGGGUUGUAAACUGCUUUUGUACGGAGCGAAAAGGCUCUCUCUAAUACAGGGGGCUCAUGACGGUACCGUAAGAAUAAGCACCGGCUAACUACGUGCCAGCCGCCGCGGUAA
rnacentral:rRNA from 1 species